rnacentral:rRNA from 1 species
AAGGUUGGGUAACACUAACUGGAGGACCGAACCGACUAAUGUUGAAAAAUUAGCGGAUGACCUGUGGCUGGGGGUGAAAGGCCAAUCAAACCGGGAGAUAGCUGGUUCUCCCCGAAAGCUAUUUAGGAUGUGGAAUAUAGCGGAGAGGGCUUCAAACCUGAAAUUGAGGAUCAUAUGGAUACUCAAAAGGUGUUUGAAGAGUUUAAUG